rnacentral:rRNA from 1 species
CCCGUGCCAUAGGAGAUUAGGGAAAGUGGUAGGAGCUUUUGGUUUUCUUUAGGGCGUUUUGGGAUUGGAGAGUCCCUGGGAGACGAGAGCGGCACGAGGCGUUGCAGGUUCGUCCGCGGCCGCCGCGCUGGUCGGCGUGGUGGGCUAGAGAGUGGUACCUCUUCCAUUGGGGCGCGAGCAGGCGAGGGUAGCUACCUAGAGAAGCGAGCGCGCGGAGACUAAGCUCAAAACGACCGGAGCACGUCGGGCGCCGCGUCCGUGGCCCCUUCCGCCGAAGUCUCCUCUUCGUCGAACUGCUGUUCCUCGACCUCGAUCUCGCCCUCGCCUUUGACUUCUUUCUCGUCUUCCGAUCUCUCUUUCUCCUCUUUUUCGAGUUCCGUUUCGUUUUCCUCUGACGAUCCGAGGUCCGAGUCCGUUGAAGCCUACCUGGAUUCUUUUCACUCUUCUUCGUUUUCUUCUUCCGACGCCCCCUACUUUUGGGGCUCCUAAAGUAACUGGGACUCUGGGGAUCGCCCCUCUUCUUUAGCGAACGUGGAGUUUACCGAUUCGUCAUAUCGGGCUCGCGUCAACUUUUUAGCACCAUGAGGACCACCCUCAGUCGUCCUAUAAAACCCCGUCUGGGGCGUUCGUGUUUUGGUGGAAAACAAUAUCAAGAUGGUGGAGGCUUACACUGACCUCGCGAAGUAUAACCAGUACGUGAAUGACACCGAUAUCUCCUGCGAUACUAUUCCACCUCCUCUUACAGCCCUAUAUUACGAGACACCCAGGGUCCUCACCUGGUACGACCGUAACGAUGUGUCCAACAUCACCUUUUCUUCGAUUACGCACUUUCCUUCGACUGUUCCGUACUGUAUCCGGCACUGUUUAAAUAUAGACUUCAAGACUUUACCUUUCUAGUCAUGCCACCAUGGUAUGACCCAGUUAAUGCAUCCGAACCCCGAAGCGAACUAACCAGGGCACUCACAAAGUGUUACCUACUAGUUGCUAGCUUUCGACAUUGACUUCGUAAACAAUCCAACGUGUUUCUACCGGAUUAAAUAUCCCUAAUGGCGGAACACUUAACCCUGACGUGUGAAAAUUGUCGUUAUAGACUGUAUCUCCACCUAGUAGAUCUCGAAUUUCUCCUUUGAUACGACUUCCAGGGACCAAUAUCAUCAGGACAUGUCAAACCACACAACUAUAGGAAACGGAUAGGAGAACUUCUUCCUGAUCCACUUUAAUAACAGCGUUGUUGUUCUUAACUUUGUUACGAGCCACUAUGCCGUUAUCGACAAGUAGGACUCCUAUUUUCCAUAUUCGUAGACGUACCUUUCGUACGGUAAGUGGGCAAGUUACCGGCUUUUGAGUUUUAUUAGACACUACGACACAAUCACCUAGGGUGAAAGCCAUGACCCCGACAGUUCUAAUGUGGACGGGUACUGGGUUUACUGAAACUCCAACCUUUUGCUGUGUUGGAUCUCAAGUAGUUAUAGAAGUGUCUACUACCCUUCUAUUUGUCGUUACCUCCACGUGUUAAACUUCCUUACCGUUCUAAACGACGAGCCCAACGUCAAUAACUACGUGACUUCCUUUUCCCCAACAUGUUCCUGUGUUUUUUCUUACUUUACUUAAACCCGUAAACAAGUUCUUCAUUACUACAUCACCUUGGAUACUAUUUCGGAGUUACCAAACAAUUAACGGUAUGCUACCGUUUCCGUCCAGAACUACGACAUUCCAGGUUUUUUUAACUCUAAUAAGGCGUUGUUAUACUUGUUCUGACCAUGUCUACCGAACUUUUAUAUGCGCUAACCACACAAAGUUCCGUUGAGACCACCCCUGUAGCACAUGGACGCACCAUACACUGUGAUCUCCUACUCGUUAACUUACUAGACCCUAGUUUGUUACUGGCAACCUAUCAGCGUUCCUUACUUACACUACGUUACGAACUCCGUGUCUUUUUCAUAGGCCCCUUCUUUAAGGUCAAUUUAGUUCUAGGACUGCAAAACCUAUGAACCAAAAGUAGACCAGAGAAGGGUAACUGUCACGAACCAACCGGUCUACUAUGACGACUAGAAGCACGAAAGAUGGGAUGAAGUCAUGAACUUUGACCUGAACUAUAAGAGAAGAAGACCCACCGUGCAUACCACUACUACCCAUACGUUGAACCACCACUACACGGUAAAGUCUUCCACAUAAACGUAGGAUACUAGGCACUACGUGUACCGGCGUUUUACAGCUUCAGUGAACCAUUACAACAACUAGGGGAACUCCACUAUUUGCCAUGCUGUGAACUUCUAGAGGAUUUUGCAAACCUUCUUCCGUUGGACCUAGGUUUACUCAAUUCACAACGUUCUCUUCCCUUCUUCUUUCUAAAAGGACUACCGUAACGACUUACACCGUGACUACGUGAGGCAAAGCGUGACUAAAGAAUGUGAAGAGUCAGACUGUUCUAUUUAGAACUAUAGUUCUCCCAACAACCUAUAGCGGUUACCACGUUAUUUAACACCUUACGGUAAGCAAAACGUUACCCGUUCGAACCACUAGUAAUACGAGGUGGUCGUUGGUAACAACACAGAAGUUACGGGGGCCAGACGUUUACCUAUGAGAGCCAUGAGUUGUUCCGAUAACCGUUCUGACACUGGAGUAAUCUUCGUAUGUUCAAGCGACUACGUUGUAGACGAUAAAUGAGUACCACCGUUAUGGUCGAUACACUACAUAAAUAUCUUCGACAUUUUGGAAUGAAGAAGUUACUGAGAGUUCUCAAGCUAAGUCGUUCUCGACGAACAUCUCUACGGGAUACCCAAACGGAGCUGUUACCAAACGCAGACGAGGUGGGUAAGUACGGAAUACAUUGUCUUCUUGAGACCGUCGCGGAAGGAGUCGGGUUUCUAAGAACGUCUUUUUGAAGGUAAUACUAUAGUCUUAUAGGUAGACAACAAUUCCUUACCCGUCUACUAUUUGAACUUUCACUUAAACCAUAAUAGAACCUAUGACACUUGUUUGAUUCUAGAGACUUCGGUGGCUGUCUAUGUUUACUUUCCGCUGGACGAAAACGUGAAACAGCUCCGCUUCUAUAACGACGGUGACAAGUCACGAUAGUUAGAGAUCACCACAGAGAAAGAAGACAUAGCAGUGAAUUCUAGGACCGUCUCUCACUGCUUUGAGGUGGACUGACAAGCUGACGACAACAUUUGUUUCUAGACAGGCAUAUGGAAGUCGAAGUUCCUCGAGAUUUGCGCCUUCACCUCGAGCUUUUCGAUUCCUUUUUCUCCCUACUUUAGGUUUUCGAUGUCGUACGGGACAGAGUCUUCUACCUUCGCAGGCCAAUGUCUCUCUUCCGGGGCGGGUCGCAGGUUCUCCUCCUGUACUCCUUUGAGUGGCGGAAAAAGCUCGUUGACGCCCACUAACCACUUCGACUCUUCUUUGAUCUACGCAUUUGACCGUUACGAACUCAGUCGAGAGACAAAGAUAACUAAAACCUUUGAUUACCGUAAAAACAAAGCUUCGACUACAUGACGUGUCAAAAAACGCCUACCACCACGACACUAGUGUAAAUGUCUUUUAAGUUUACCUCGUUACUCUGAGGUUAAAGGGUGUAUACGGAAUGAAAACAUUUACUACAAAUAGAAGCUCACAGUCACAGUUAACUGAUAAAAAAUCACCAGUUCGGGAACUCUAAAAAAAACAACAACGUUUAAAGACGUAAGUUAAAC